rnacentral:rRNA from 1 species
GAUGAACGCUGGCGGCGUGCCUAAUACAUGCAAGUCGAGCGAACAGGCGAGGAGCUUGCUCCUCUGACGUUAGCGGCGGACGGGUGAGUAACACGUGGAUAACCUACCUAUAAGACUGGGAUAACUUCGGGAAACCGGAGCUAAUACCGGAUAAUAUAUUGAACCGCAUGGUUCAAUAGUGAAAGACGGUUUUGCUGUCACUUAUAGAUGGAUCCGCGCCGCAUUAGCUAGUUGGUAAGGUAACGGCUUACCAAGGCAACGAUGCGUAGCCGACCUGAGAGGGUGAUCGGCCACACUGGAACUGAGACACGGUCCAGACUCCUACGGGAGGCAGCAGUAGGGAAUCUUCCGCAAAGGGCGAAAGCCUGACGGAGCAACGCCGCGUGAAUGAUGAAGGUCUUCGGAUCGUAAAACUCUGUUAUUAGGGAAGAACAAAUGUGUAAGUAACUAUGCACGUCUUGACGGUACCUAAUCAGAAAGCCACGGCUAACUACGUG